rnacentral:lncRNA from 1 species
UAGAAAAAAUCAUUAGACCAUCAUAUGGUGCGUGGGAGAUGGAGAACGCGUGAAAUACCAAGAGUCCAUGAUAUUAUGGACUCUUCCAUAUCAAUGCAAAUAUAUGGCAUCCCAUUAAUUAUUUGGUGUUUAAAUUCUUUUCAAGAGAAGGACUCUUCCUCCUCUUCCAUGCCCCAUAUCCCAAGCACCAUCAUAUGUCACGAGGAAUUAAGAAAAAUACGUGGAACCUUGUAAGGAAAUUAAGAG